rnacentral:sRNA from 1 species
UUGAAAUAUAAACUUGGUAGACUGUUGCUGGCAUUUAUUUUGCAUGUGCACGUUUAUCAUCUUUUAUUUUUCCACCUGUGCACCCUUUGUAGACUUGAUUUUGGGACUGCCUUGUUUAAACAUGCAAUGUUUAUGUUUUUUUUUGGCUUUUCCUUUUAUUUAUACAAGUCUAUGUUUUUAUGUUAACACAAAAUAUGGGAUAAACUUGUUAGGACCUAUAAAAAAAAAAGUGUAACAACUUUCAGCAACGGAUCUCUUGGCUCUCGCAUCGAUGAAGAACGCAGCGAAAUGCGAUAAGUAAUGUGAAUUGCAGAAUUCAGUGAAUCAUCGAAUCUUUGAACGCAUCUUGCGCUCCUUAGUAUUCUGAGGAGCAUGCCUGUUUGAGUAUCAUUAAAUUAUCAACUGCGCCAGCUUUUUGGAGUUGGCUGUAGAUUGGAUUAUGGGAGUUUUUGCAGGCUUUUUAGAAAGUCAGCUCUCCUAAAAUGCAUUAGCCAGUGCCUUUUGUUGGUUCCUUAGGUGGUGAUAGCUUAUCUACGCCUUUAUGUGUGCCUUCAUUUUCAAAGGUAAUACUGCUUAUAGUCGUCUUGUUUUUCCAAGACAAUAAUGUCUAAUGACAAA